AAAAACUUUCAACAACGGAUCUCUUGGUUCUGGCAUCGAUGAAGAACGCAGCAAAAUGCGAUAAGUAAUGUGAAUUGCAGAACUCCGCGAAUCAUCGAAUCUUUGAACGCACAUUGCGCCCGCCGGUCUCCCGGCGGGCAUGCCUGUUCGAGCGUCAUUG
rnacentral:rRNA from 1 species